UGUUUGGUUCUCCUUUGAGUGUCCUUCUCUUAAAAUUUUGCUAAUUCCUUUUCAUGAAUCUCUUGAACUUUCUUGCCAUUAGUGCCAAAUCAUCUUCUUCUUCUGUUAGGAAAUAUGUUUCGAGAUUCAAUCCAUAAGAAGCCUAGAACGAGAUCCAAGAUGACGAACGGAGUUCAACAAACCUAAGAGCAGUCCAAAUGGAGUUCAGAUAGAGAAAAUAUGUACAAAAGAAAGUGAGAAAGUGGGCUAGUAGGGCCCACGAACAGCAGAGGGGU
rnacentral:lncRNA from 1 species